rnacentral:rRNA from 1 species
UACGGACUGUGCAAACGUUGUUCGGAAUCACUGGGCUUAAAGGGCGCGUAGGCGGGUGCUCAAGUCCGUGGUGAAAUCCUCCGGCUCAACCGGAGAACUGCCUCGGAUACUGGGCGCCUCGAGGGUGGUAGGGGUAUGCGGAACUAUCGGUGGAGCGGUGAAAUGCGUUGAUAUCGAUAGGAACUCCGGUGGCGAAGGCGGCAUACUGGACCACCUCUGACGCUGAGGCGCGAAAGCCAGGGGAGCAAACGGG